CAAUUCAGAGUGGCCAGGCUGGCUCCCCAUAUUCACUGACGCAUCCAAACUCUCCGAAAACAGCAACGUGGGUUUGGCCGUAUGGCUGCCCAAGUACAAAGUUGCACUCAGUUUUAAGCGUCCCCCUGAGUCCUCGGUCUUCACGGGCGAGGCAACAGCUAUUCUCGAGGCGCUUCUGUACGCUGAGUCACACAAACUUAACAAAACUAUUAUCCUUUCUGAUUCGGCCAGUUCAUUACAAGCAAUUAUUUCCUUUCCCUUUAAAUCCAAAUCCAAAUUCCCUAUCAUUUUAAAAAUUAGAGAAACCCUAUUCCGUUGCAUGACUCAGGGUAUAGAAGUAGCUAUCGCUUGGAUACCUGGGCACAGUGGUAUUAUUGGUAAUGAGUGUGCAGAUUCCUUUGCUAAGGAUGCCGUUAGCUUGGGCCUGGACACUCAUUACCAAAAUUUUGCCCAUGACCUUGCCUCGCUCGCAGGACCGAGGCUGGAUAGAUCCUGGAAAGUGUCCUGGGACACUUCUAGGAAUUUUAAAGGUUUUAACUGUGUAAAUAGUCUAAAAUAACCGUAACGACUGCUUUCCAAUACUGUGAGCAUUGGUCACGUGACUCUGGCCCAGUUAGCCGUGUUAGUCACACACGGCAAAGAGCCAUUCAACCAAAA